rnacentral:rRNA from 1 species
UUGUUAGUUGCCAUCAUUCAGUUGGGCACUCUAGCGAGACUGCCAGUAAUAAACCGGAGGAAGGUGGGGAUGACGUCAAAUCAUCAUGCCCCUUAUGACCUGGGCUACACACGUGCUACAAUGGUUGGUACAACGAGUUGCGAGUCGGUGACGGCGAGCUAAUCUACUUAAAGCCAAUCUCAGUUCGGAUUGGUAGGCUGCAACUCCGCCUACAUGAAGUCGGAAUCGCUAGUAAUCGCGGAUCAGCACGCCGCGGUGAAUACCGGUUCCCGGGCCUU